rnacentral:rRNA from 1 species
CAGCCGCCGCGGUAAUACGAAGGGGGCUAGCGUUGUUCGGAAUUACUGGGCGUAAAGGGCGCGUAGGCGGCCAUUCAAGUUAGAUGUGAAAGCCCUGGGCUCAACCUAGGAAUUGCAUUUGAUACUGUUUGGCUUGAGUUCAGGAGAGGUGAGUGGAAUUCCCAGUGUAGAGGUGAAAUUCGUAGAUAUUGGGAAGAACACCAGUGGCGAAGGCGGCUCACUGGACCGACACUGACGCUGAGGCGCGAAAGCGUGGGGAGCAAACAGGAUUAGAUACCCGCGUAGUCCCUGUCUCUUAUAC